rnacentral:rRNA from 1 species
GGUAAAAAAGCUCGUAGUUGGAUUUCUGUUGAGGGCGACCGGUCCGUACCACGUACGCGUAUCUGGCUCACCCUCGGCAUCCUCUCGGUGGGCGUUGCUGCGCUUCAUUGCGUGGCGCGAUCCUCGGGACUUUUACUUUGAGGAAUUAGAGUGUUCACGGCAGGCAACCGCCAGAAUACAUUAGCAUGGAAUAAUAACAUAGGAUCUCGAUUCUAUUUUGUUGGUUUCUAGAAUUGGGAUAAUGAUUAAUAGGGACAAUUGGGGGCAUUCGUAUCAACACGUCAGAGGUGGAAUUCUUGGAUUGUGUUGCGACGAACUACUGCGAAAGCAUUUGCCAAGGAUGUUUUCAUUGAUCAAGAACGAAAGUAAGGGGAUCGAAGACGAUUAGAUACCGUCGUAGUCUUUACCAUAAACUAUGCCAACUCAGGAUUCAUGGGCGUUCACUUACGACUCCAUGGGCACUGUAUGAGAUAUCAAAGUCUUUGGGUCCGGGGGGA